rnacentral:rRNA from 1 species
GACGUAGGUGGCGAACGUUAUCCGGAAUUAUUGGGCGUAAAGGGUGCGUAGGCGGCAUGAUAAGUUAUUGGCGGCAAAUCGAGGCUCAACCUCGUGGAAACUGAUAAUACUGUCUUGCUUGAGUGCAGAAGAGGUUAACGGAACUCCAUGUGGAGCGGUAAAAUGUGUAGAUAUAUGGAAGAACAUCAAUAACGGCGAAGGCAGUUAACUAUUCUGUUACUGACGUUGAGGCACGAAAGCAUGGGGAUCAAACAGG